CUCAAAUUCGACUUCGGUAACGUGAUCUACGAAGCCCGAUCUACGUUUCUACCGAUCGUUUUGAGGUAAUGGGUUACUUGAAACUUGCUUGAGGCCACCCAAACCAUGGGUUUUGGUUUGGUGAAAUUUUGGUUCUGCGGAUAUAGAUAAUGACUCGUCCACCUAGCGUAUGGGAUGCUAUGAUUGGAGCACAUCGCGACAGUCAUAAGUCACAGACUCAUUUGUAGUCAGCAUUUGGG